CUACGGGUGGCUGCAGUGAGGAAUAUUGCACAAUGGGGGGAACCCUGAUGCAGCAACGCCGCGUGGAGGAUGACGCAUUUCGGUGUGUAAACUCCUUUUAUAUGUCAAGAAAAUGACGGUAGCAUAUGAAUAAGCACCGGCUAACUCCGUGCCAGCAGGCCGCGGUAAUACGGAGGGUGCAAGCGUUACUCGGAAUCACUGGGCGUAAAGGACGCGUAGGCGGGUUGGAAAGUCGGGUGUGAAAUCCUACAGCUUAACUGUAGAACUGCACUUGAAACUUCUAAUCUAGAGUAUGGGAGGGGGAGAUGGAAUUAGUGGUGUAGGGGUAAAAUCCGUAGAUAUCACUAGGAAUACCUAAAGCGAAGGCGAUCUCCUGGAACAUUACUGACGCUAAGGCGUGAAAGCGUGGGGAGCAAACAGGAUUAGAUACCCUUGUAGUC
rnacentral:rRNA from 1 species